rnacentral:rRNA from 1 species
CCUACGGGUGGCAGCAGAGAGGAAUAUUGGUCAAUGGGCGGAAGCCUGAACCAGCCAAGUAGCGUGCAGGAUGACGGCCCUACGGGUUGUAAACUGCUUUUAUACGGGACUAACGCGCCUUACGUGUAGGGCUUUGCCUGUACGGUAUGAAUAAGCAUCGGCUAAAUCCGUGCCAGCAGCCGCGGUAAUACGGGGGAUGCGGGCGUUAUCCGGAUUUAUUGGGUUGAAAGGGUGCGUAGGCGGCGCCUCAGGUCCGCGGUGAAAGACCGGGGGUCAACUCCGGGGCUGCCGUUGAAACCGGAGCGCUAGAAUUCCGAUGCCGUCGGAGGGAUGUGUGGUGUAGCGGUGAAAUGCAUAGAUAUCACACAGAACACCGAUUGCGAAGGCAUCUGACGAAUCGGAGAUUGACGCUGAUGCACGAAAGCGUGGGUAUCGAACAGGAUUAGAUACCCCGGUAGUC